rnacentral:lncRNA from 1 species
AACUAAUUUGCUUUGCAUUAAGUUACAUUUACCAUUUAAAUGUAAAAAAAAAUAAAAAAUAUUCAUAGAAAUAUAGCCAUCUUUUUAGACAUUUUUUAAGCCCAUUACAAAAGUAAACAUGUGCAAGUUAAUUAUUUGAUUCUUUUUGUUUUGAUUCUUUAAUUAUUUACACAAAAUUACUAUGUUAUAUAUACUACUUUGAGCAUGCAUUGUAAGUUCUUUGCUUGAUUGAAUUGGGAACACCAAUAUGGAGUUUCCCUUAAUAGAUUGUGAAUGGUAACUGGGAAAUAUAGAACAAGCCUAGGCAGCAAUACGCUUAUGUGUGUUUAUUUUGCUAAUCGUAGUGAAUUUCUCAAUAUGAUGUAGAGUUGCUCACCUAAUAUAGCUAAUUCUCUUGUGGUAAAUUUUUUUUUUUUGGAAUGUGAAAACUAUUCAUACAAUAUGAUACACUCAAGGAGGAAGAUUCAGAUUAGGAUUCUAUCAAUUAGGAAGUUUAAUACACUGUCAUUAAAGAAUUUUAUUAUUUUUAUUAUUAUUUAGGAACUCUAUUAUGUUCAUUAUUUUUUUUCUAGUUUUACUAUUAAUAUAAUUCCUAAAUUGAGUCUUCUUCCAAUACUACAGCAUCCUCCCUUGGUUGGAGAAAACUCAACCGUGAGUAUUGUAAUGUUCUCAUGUGAAAGAAACAAUUUGGUGAAAAAAAUUUCAUCUUCUUGGAUGAUAGCAAUGUAUUUGAAAUGAAAAACUUCAUAUCUUCCUUACCAUCUCCCAAAAGAUUUAACAUGAUUUUCAAACUUUACCAGACCAAGGAACCUAUGAAGAUAGAAGGUUAAACCAAGGUUCAAUAGUGGUUUAACCGGUAUAAUUAAAUAAAUAUUAAAUAUCUUACAAAAUUAAUAGCUUCUUUAAAAAAAAUAAAAAUAAUGAAUUUUUAUAAUUAGUUGUUUGAUAUAUUUUAUAAAUAAUUCGGUAAAUUACACUUUUAGUUCCCUGAGUUUUAGCGUAAUUAACGGAUCGAUCCCUGUAUUUUUUAAAUCGAAUACUUGAAUUUCUUUGUAAUCAGUCCGUUCAAAUAGGAGGUCCUUUCAUCCAUAAUUUCGUUAGUCAACAAGUCAAAGAGAGAAUAAAUAUUUCAAAUAUCUAAAAUAUCUUCAUGAACACUUAAAUCCUUGCCAAUGUGGGUGAAGCAUUUUAUAUUGUAUGUUGAGAUUAUUUAUGUAAAUAGCCUAGAUUUGUAGUGGUAAUUAGGGAUAUGAUUGUGUGAUAUGAUUGGGAUAUGAUUAGGCUAUAAUUAGGGAAUUAAUUUAUUUUCUUACCUAAUGUGUACUCUUGUAAGUAGUAUAUAUACCCUAAUUGGCUUGAGGGGAAUAAUAAAGUAUUUUCUCUCAAAUCUUCUGCUCUCUUUUUCUUACUUCCAUCAAAGUUUCAUGGUACCAGAGCCAAGAAAUUUGGUUCACCUUUGAGUUGCAGAUCUGACAUCUUGCUUUGGUGACUUUCUGGAAAUCAGUUAGUCUCACCACCCAGCCCAUUCUCCGCCGGCCUCUGAUCCACUUUCCGGCGACCGUUUCACGCCGGUGAUUCUUCUCCCAACUUCGCCUGGCGCCGGCGACCAAAGCCUAGUAGGUCCUAUCGUUAGAUCAGCUCACCUUCACACGUCCUUCAUCCACGCUCGGACGCGUGCACCACUUUCCGGUGACCAUUUCACACCGGCUAUUCUUCUCCCAGCUUUGCCCAGUGCCGGCGACCAAAGCCCAGUAGGUGCGGUCGUCAGAUUUACUGUUCACAGGCGUUCUUUUUGGCAGAUUCGGCUCCUUUUUGCAGAUUCGGGUCCCUACUCGGUCCCUUGUUGUUUCAGAAUCUCUCUCGACAUGUCUGAGAAUCAAAACACCCUCAAUACAGAUUCAAAUUCAGUCUCUAUGGCCUAAUCAAAUAUUGCCCAUUCUGGUAAUUCUUUAACUUAUCUAACCAAGUCUUUACCCAUUGGUUCAUGGAUCCUCGACUCUGGUGCUUCUGAUCAUAUCUCUAGUAAUCCCUCUAUUUUCUCUACUCUUGUUUCACUUUCCACACCAUUUAAAGUCACAUUAGCUAAUGAUUCACAAACUCAAGUUAAAGGGAUCGGUAACGUAUAUCUCCUUCCUUCUAUCCCCUUGACUAAUGUUUUAUUUGCCCCAGACUGUUCAUACAAUCUAAUCUCUGUUAGCAAAUUGACUAAAGAUCUUCACUGUUCAGUCAUUUUUACUACUGAAUCUGUGGUUGUGCAGGACCGGAGUACUGGAAAGAUGAUUGGAGCAGGAUAUGAGUCACAAGGAUUGUACUAUUUUUCCACUUCAAACUCUUCAAUUGCUUUUGUGCCUUCCACCUCCGCUGAACUCAUUUAUAGUCGUUGGGGACAUCCAAGUCUGAACAAGUUACAAAAACUGGUUCCUAGCCUCUCUUCCUUACCUUCUUUAGAAUGUGUCUUGUCAACUCGGGAAACAAACUCGAGCUUCUUUUCCUAAGCGAAUCAAUAAUAAGGCUAGUUCUAUGUUUGACAUUGUUCAUUAAGAUAUUUGGGGUCCAAGUCGGGUUAGUAUAACUCUGGGAUUUCAAUAUUUUGUUACCUUUAUUGAUGACUAUUCUCGUUGCACUUGGCUUUUUUUGAUGAAGAAUCGUUCUGAUUUGUUCCUUAUUUUUCAAAAGUUUUAUGCUGAAAUCCAUAAUCAAUUUGGUGUUCGCAUUAAGAUACUGCGAAGUGAUAAUGCAAGAGAAUAUUUGUCUUCUUCAUUCACUCAUUUCUUGUCUACUCAGGGUAUUGCUCAUCAAACUUCUUGCUCUUAUACUCCACAACAAAAUGGAGUUGCCGAAUGGAAAAAUCGGCAUUUAAUUGAAACAGCCCGCACUUUACUCCUACAUCACAAUGUUCGGUUGCGUUUUUUGGGGGAAGCUGUCCUCACCGCCUGUUACUUGAUUAACCAAAUGCCUUCCUCUGGUUUGCAGCAUCAAAGUCCUCAAUCUGUCCUAUUUCCUAACCAGAAUACCACCCAGUUGUCUCUGCGUGUUUUCGGAUAUAUAUGCUUUGUUCAUGAUCAUACUCCUGGCAAAGACAAACUCCAACCCAAAUCAGUUAAAUGUGUCUUUCUCGGCUAUUCACGGCUUCAAAAAGGUUACAAAUGUUAUGAUCCUACUACUAACAGAUAUUUUGUGUCUGCAGAUGUCACCUUUUUUGAAACCUCUCCUUACUUUUCUUCUAGUCCAACAACAAAACUUUUGUCCCUAUUGCUUUGCCUGUACCUCCGGCUCCUAUUUCUUCUUUGCCGCAAGUGUGUCCAUCUCCCACUCCUAUGCCACCUCUUCAGGUCUAUACACGUCGAUCUCACCCAUCUACUAAUAACAAUGACAUUUCUCUCCCUAAUGCAGGUACUUCUAGUGACUCACCUCCCGUUCCGUCAUCACCUACUUCGGUCAUGCCUUCAACUACAGAAGCUACUCCUCCUCUUGCUCUUCGAAAAGGUAUUCGCUCUUCCCGAAAUCCUCAUCCCAUUUAUAAUUUUGUAAGUUACCAUCGUUUGUCUCCUUCCUAUUAUACUUUUGUCUCUGUUGUGUCUGCUGUCUCCAUACCCAAGACAGUUAGAGAAGCAUUAGAUCAUCCUGGUUGGUGUAAUGCCAUGGUUGAGGAAAUGACUGCUCUGCAUAACAAUGGAACUUGGGAACUGGUAUCCUUACCACCUGGUAAGUCUACUGUUGGUUGUCGAUGGGUUUACACGGUUAAGGUGGGACCUGAUGGCAAAAUUAAUCGCCUUAAAGCUCGCCUUGUAGCUAAAGGUUACACAGAUUUUUGGGCUUGAUUACAGUGAUACUUUCUCUGUCGUAGCCAAAAUAACUUCUGUUCGCCUCCUUAUCUCAUUGGCUGCAAUUAAUCACUGGACCCUGCAUCAACUGGACAUUAAAAAUGCCUUUCUUCAUGGAGAGCUCGCUGAAGAAGUUUAUAUGGAGCAACCUCCAGGGUUUGUUGCUCAGGGGGAGUCAGGCUUAGUAUGUCGUCUUCGGCGCUCUUUGUAUGGGCUAAAACAGUCUCCAAGAGCAUGGUUUGGACGAUUUAGCACUAUAGCUCAACAGUUUGGAAUGUCUUGAAGUAAUUCUGAUCAUUCCGUAUUUUUUCAUUAUAAUGUUGAUAGAUGCAUCUACUUUGUGGUCUAUGUUGAUGAUAUUGUCAUUACAGGAAAUGAUCAUGAUGGAAUCUCUCAGCUUAAGCAACAUUUGUUCAGUCAUUUCCAAACUAAAGAUCUGGGGAAACUGAAAUUUUUCUUGGGAAUUGAAGUGGCACAGUCUAAAAUGGGUAUUGCAAUUUCUCAACGGAAAUAUGCUUUGGAUAUAUUGGAAGAAACAGACAUGUUAGACUGUAGACAUGUGUCCACUCCCAUGGAUCCAAAUGUUAAGCUUGUUCCUGAACAGGGGGAGCCACUUAAAGAUCCUACUAUUAGUCGGCAAGUUCAAUUAUCUCACUAUCACACGACCAGAUAUUUCCUUUGCUGUAAGUGUGGUUAGUCAAUUUCUUCAAACUCCAUACAGUAGUCACUGGGAUGCAGUCAUUUGCAUUCUUAGAUAUAUCAAAGGAGCUCCAGGACAGGGUCUACUCUAUGAAGACAAGGGUCACUCACAAAUUGUUGGCUAUUCUGAUGCAGAUUGGGCAGGUUCCCCUUCAGAUAGACGAUCUACUUCAGGAUAUUGUAUUAUGAUUGGAGGGAAUCUCAUAUCCUGGAAAAGUAAAAAACAGAGUGUGGUUGCAAGAUCAAGUGCAGAAGCAAAAUAUCGAGCUAUGGCUUUAGCAACAUGCGAACUCAUCUGGUUGAAGCAACUCCAGGAAUUGAAAUAUAGUGAUACUGGCCAAAUGAAGUUGAUAUGUGAUAAUCAAGCUGGCCUCCAUAUUGCAUCAAAUCCAAUUUUUCAUGAGGACGAAGCAUAUAGAGGUGGAUUGUCAUUUUAUUAGGCAAAAGAUUGAGUCCGAAUGCAUUUCUACUAGCUUUGUCAACUCAAAUGAUCAGCUAGCUGAUGUUUUCAUAAAAUCACUUGGAGGACCACGAAUCAAGUAUAUUUGUAACAAGUUUGGAGCAUAUGAUAUGUAUGCUCCAGCUUGAGGGGGGGAGUGUUGAGAUUAUUUAUAUAAAUAGUCUAGAUUUGUAGUGGUAAUUAGGGAUAUGAUUGUGUGAUAUGAUUGGGAUAUGAUUAGGCUAUAAUUAGGGAAUUAAUUUAUUUUCUUACCUAAUGUGUACUCUUGUAAGUAGUAUAUAUACCCCAAUUGGCUUGAGGGGAAUAAUAAAGUAUUUUCUCUCAAAUCUUCUGCUCUCUUUUUCUUCCUUUCAUCAAAGUUUCAUUGUGUAAACUACACUUUAGUCUCUGAUUUUAACAUAAUUAACAUAUUAGUCCUUGUAUUUUAAAAUUAAAUCCUUAGAUACCUCUAUAUUCAGUUCAUCCAAAAUUUUAGUUCUUUCAUCCAUUAUAGACAUUAAUUUGAAGUUAGUGGGUAGUCAAACUUCCAAAAGUACAAUUUCUUUCUAAAAUACUUUUUGUAAAAAUCUAUUACCUAUUUAAAAGUCACUUGGUACCACUUAAAAAUGGCUGAAGUUGUAAGUGUUGUCUGAAAAUUUUUGAAAUUAUCAAGUACUGGAGUACUUUAAUGAAUAAAAAUUGAAGAACAAAAAGUAUUAAAAAAAUUAGUUGAAUAUGAUAAUUUAGAUAAAAGUUAAUGGGGACAUAAGUGUUCUUUCAAAUGAAAAAUAAAGGAUCAAGAUGUUUAAAAUUUAAUAGAUGAGGGAAAAUGGAUGAAAUCCUAACUCCUUAAUAUUUUAAUUUAAAAAAGGGACAAUAAAGAUAUUUUCAUGCUUUUAAUUGCAAGAAAUGGAUGAAAAGAUUGGAAUUUAAAUGGAUUUAUCAUAAAGGGAUUUAAAUAUUCGAUUUUAAAAAUAUAGAGAUAGAUCUUUUAAUUAUAUUAAAAAUCAAGGACUAACGCGUAGUUUACCCAUUUGAAAGGAUAAUAAAGACAUUUUCACACUUUUAACAGUAAAAAUGGAUAGAAGGACCUCCCAUUUGGACGGACUGAUUAUAGAGGGAUUCAAGUGUUCGGUUUCAAAAAUACAGGGAUCGAUCCAUUAAUUAUACUAAACUCGGACCAAAGUGUAAUUUAUCCUAAAUAAUAAUUAAAAUAAUUUAAAAUUAAAAAGUUUAAAUUAUAAAAUGUACGAUAAAAAGUAUUUAGAAUAAAAUUUUCAUAGUAAUAGAUUAUUCAUAUUAAUAAAGAAUAAGUUUUAAAAUAUUAAAAUUCUAUAAAAAAAUAGAGAGAAACUUU